CCUACGGGUGGCAGCAGUGAGGAAUAUUGGUCAAUGGCCGGAAGGCUGAACCAGCCAUGCCGCGUGAAGGUCAGUGCCCUAUGGGCGUUAAACCUCUUUUGUGCGGGAGCAAUAAUGGUCACGUGUGGCCAGACGAGAGUACCGUACGAAUAAGCAUCGGCUAACUCCGUGCCAGCAGCCGCGGUAAUACGGGGGAUGCAAGCGUUAUCCGGAUUUAUUGGGUUUAAAGGGUGCGUAGGCUGUGAGGUAAGUCAGCGGUGAAAUGCCCCCGCUCAACGGGGUGAAGUGCCAUUGAUACUGCCUGGCUGGAAUGCGGAUGCCGUGGGAGGAAUGUGUGGUGUAGCGGUGAAAUGCAUAGAUAUCACACAGAACACCGAUUGCGAAGGCAUCUCACGAAUCCGCGAUUGACGCUGAUGCACGAAAGCGUGGGUAUCAAACAGGAUUAGAUACCCUUGUAGUC
rnacentral:rRNA from 1 species